rnacentral:misc_RNA from 1 species
GGUGGGAGCUGGCUUGCCUGCGAUGCAGGCGACUCGGUAUCUCUGGAGCAUCGAGUGGAUGCCAUCGCAGGCAAGCCAGCUCCCGCA